GACGAAGAGUUAAUAUCCACCCCACCCAGGCUAAAACAGCUACUAUCCAGGUCACUGACAAUUCCAGGAGGGGGCAGAUAAAGGGCAAUUCAUUCAUUCAUCCAACCAUUCUACAGGCAUUCCCUGUGGACUGUGCCAAACACUGUGCUGAAUGCUUGAUGUGCAGGACAGUGAUCAAGAUCUGGUACCCUCUUCAAGAAGACCUCAGUCUAGUGGGGGCAGGGUCCUGUCCUGCAAGGCAAAGUGCUCUUGCCAUCAGACUGGGGUGCUGGGGAAACUUUCCUGGAGGAGUGAUAUGUAAUAAUGUUGAAAGGAAAACAGAAGUUUGGCACAUUAAGGAAAAGGGGCAUUCACAGGUGCAAGGAAAAUCUCCGGAAAAAAUACAAACAUAACAUGGCUUAGCGGAGGAAAGGGUCUGACUCUCUCUGGAGCAAAAUGCUUCUCUAAGAGAAUAGUUCCCUGGAAGGGGACAUGGCAACCAACUCCAGUAUUCUUGCAGGGAAAAUCCCAUGGUCAAGGAGCCUGGAAGGCUACAGUCCAUGGGGUUGCAAAGAGUCAGACAUGACUGAAGCGAGUAUAAGGGGAACAGUCAGAGUUGAGAAGGAAGUGAACCACAAAAGGCCCUUUGAACUAAGAAACCUAGGCUUCAUCCUGAUGUGGGGACACUGAAGAUUUUGAGCAGAAGAAUGACAUAAUAGAGCAAAUCCACUGGCAUGGUUAGAGAAACAGGUUGUGAUGCAAGAUGUGGGUCAGUCCCACACACACAACACUGUUGUCACGGACACUGAGAGCUGGUUAACAAGUGAGGGUCGAGAGCAAUCUCAGGGCCAAGAAGGAGUGCCCACAAUCCUGUCCAAGGAGAGAGGGAACAGGUUCUACCAGGAAGAGACAGGCCCAGGGAGAGGAGACAGACACGACACAGACUUAUGUACACAUAUCACAUGUACACACGUACAUACGAAGGCAAUACGAGGCUCAAAGCCUAAAUCUGGGGAAACUGAUCUGUGGUUUUCACUGUUUCUCGAUCGUAACACAAAACUCACCUCUUCCAAGAAGAAUUUUCCAGUUGCUUCUUUUCUCUGCCUCCCAUUACACUGGUGACUCUUUUUUCCAAAUGCAUAUUCCUCUGCCCUCCCCACGGCCUCCCCUCCCAUAUCCUCUCACACACGCAUUAAAAGACGUUGCUUCAGAUCACAUGUUCCCAAGGGAAUGGUGACCCAGAAGCCUGUGAAGAGAAGACGACAUUGCAGGAGACAAGAUGAAAACCUCUGGACG
rnacentral:lncRNA from 1 species